AACUUGUCGAGUUGUUAAAGAUAGCCAAGGGGACUUUCGGAGAUAAAGGUUUUAGAGGAAAGAAAAUAGAAGAAAUCGUUAAGCGAGUUAUGAAAAUCACUGUUUGAGUACAUAAGCAGAGUCCGUGAAUUUAUGUCACUGACAGAUUGGCCUAAAUUGAGAGACACUAAAAGAAGAAAUGUCCAAACAGCAAGGAAUGCUACUUUUCAGCUGAGUUCAUUAUUUAUUUACUGGCGGUUACAUGAAAGAUGUUUUUUUGCGUUUUUGUUCACUUAAAGUCCAUACAACCUUGGCAAUCAAUAGAUGACUUGUCGUGUUAGACGUUCUGUAAGGCUAAAAUAUCGCUGUAAUGCAAACCAAAAAGGGAGAAACUUUACUAAAAAAGAAAAGAAACUUUUGCAAAACAGAGGGACGUUCUUGAAAAUUUGUUCAUACAAUUACGUAUGCAUCCAGGAAAAUUUCAUAUGUUCAUAGUUCGGAUUGUUUAUAGUUGUGUAUUUAUUGUUAUUUUGCUAUAAAUGAAUGUACAAUUUCA